UUCGGCGGCCAUAGCGAGAGGGAAACGCCCGGUCCCAUUCCGAACCCGGAAGCUAAGCCUCUCAGCGUCGAUGGUACUGCAAGGGGGACCUUGUGGGAGAGUAGAUCGCCGCCGGAC
rnacentral:rRNA from 1 species